ACGGCUCAGUAACACGUGGAUAAUCUGCCCUAAGGUCAGGCAUAACACCGGGAAACUGGUGAUAAUUCCUGAUAUACCAUAGAUACUGGAAUGUUCUGUGGUCAAAAGCUCCGGCGCCUUAGGAUGAAUCUGCGGCCUAUCAGGUUGUAGUGGGUGUAACGUACCUACUAGCCGACGACGGGUACGGGUUGUGAGAGCAAGAGCCCGGAGAUGGAUUCUGAGACAUGAAUCCAGGCCCUACGGGGCGCAGCAGGCGCGAAAACUUUACAAUGCGGGAAACCGCGAUAAGGGGACACUGAGUGCCAGCAUACAAUGUUGGCUGUCCGCAUGUAUAAAUAGCAUGUGUUAGCAAGGGCCGGGCAAGACCGGUGCCAGCCGCCGCGGUAACACCGGCGGCCCGAGUGGUGGCCACUAUUAUUGGGUCUAAAGGGUCCGUAGCCGGUUUGAUCAGUCUUCCGGGAAAUCUGACAGCUCAACUGUUAGGCUUCCGGGGGAUACUGUCAGACUUGGGACCGGGAGAGGAAAGAGGUACUACAGGGGUAGGAGUGAAAUCUUGUAAUCCUUGUGGGACCACCAGUGGCGAAGGCGUCUUACCAGAACGGGUCCGACGGUGAGGGACGAAAGCUGGGGGCACGAACCGGAUUAGAUACCCGGGUAGUCCCAGCCGUAAACGAUGCUCGCUAGGUGUCUGGGAUGGUGCGACCGUUUCAGGUGCCGCAGGGAAGCCGUGAAGCGAGCCACCUGGGAAGUACGGCCGCAAGGCUGAAACUUAAAGGAAUUGGCGGGGGAG
rnacentral:rRNA from 1 species